rnacentral:rRNA from 1 species
CAACGUAAAGAACCUGCCUCAUAGACUGGGACAACUAUUGGAAACGAUAGCUAAUACCGGAUAACAGCAUUAACUGCAUGGUUGAUGUUUAAAAGUUGGUUUUGCUAACACUAUGAGAUGGCUUUGCGGUGCAUUAGCUAGUUGGUGGGGUAAAGGCCUACCAAGGCGACGAUGCAUAGCCGACCUGAGAGGGUGAUCGGCCACACUGGGACUGAGACACGGCCCAG